rnacentral:lncRNA from 1 species
GUUCACCUGCAGCCUGAGGAGAGGAACAGCUGCAACACCUGCUAGGGGCUGAGGGGAUGAAGCCCCAGAGGCUGAUCAGAUAUCCUCCUCUGGAAGUGGAGCCACAUGGCCAGUCCACCACCGGAUGCAGAUGUGAGCUUUGCUUUCAUGUUGACCUGUGUCUCUUCUAGCUGGGUGUGAGCAUUCAAGCCAACCUAGAGACAGACCCUGACUUGAAACUCAUGGGAGAUUAUGCUAAGAUCACAUGGACUUCUUCUCUUCAAUUACUAGAGAGCUCUUCAAUUCUCUGUGUGUCUUUUUAUGUCACUUCCCAAGAACGUGGUUUGUUUGGAUCUGCAAAUCUUCAGAAACUGGUCCCGUUUUUUUUUUUUUUAAAUUUUUCUGUUUCCAAAAAUGCAGUUUUUUGUUUGUUGUGGGCUGUGAUGCAAAUCGCAUUUCGUAGUCCCUGUCUUUGGAGAUGCUCCAAUCAGUCCCUCGGAGAAAGACAGAAAUGGAUUCCUUUGUUCUUUCUGUUCUUUCCGGGCAACCUGCCUCUGAGGGGAAGAGGGCCCAGACAUAGGAUGCUGAGUAACUGAAUUUUUAAAAAUCAAGCAAUGCAGUGAGGAAUAAAAACAAAUUCAGUUUCACAUAUAUGAGACUGGCAGCACAAUACAGCUAACCUCUGCUAGUUGGUGACUAACAGUUGGAAAUCUAUCCCGUAAGUUCCCAAACACAUCGGUGUUGCAAAGGACCUUGAAAGCACAGCAAAUGGGUGAGCACACAUUAUUCAAUUUUUAUUAGGUUGUCAGCCUUGUGUAUCUCUUUCAAAAACAUGUAGCUCAUAAAAACAUUCUUCACUUAUCUUCAGCUGAUUUGAUGCAAUUUUCUUCAAUGGUGCUUAGUUAUAUUUAAUGCCCGUGCUAUACUUAUGUCCAAAAAAAAAAAAAAGGGAAAUAAUGCAAAGCAGGCCAUAUUCUAAAACAAAAAGCAUUACAUCGAGGUUCUAGGUUCCUUCAAAAAGAGCAAAGCAGAGUGGACCUCACCUGAUAUAGCAUCUAUCUUUAAACCUUGCAUUUUAUUUCGAAACUUUGCAAAGCAAUAAAAAACUCAUUAACUUUUAUAGCCAGUCGAAAAGGUAAUAGCAUCUGUAGCAAUGGAGGUGUAAUUGGGCUUUUAUUUAAAUGUGACAGGGAGUUUGUUCUCAUUAUAGGAAAUAAAUGAACAACCACAAAUCACCAGUGGAUUCAUGCUCCCUACGGUGCUGGUGCAAGUGGCCCGGGAACUUCCCCAGUGCCGCUUCCUUAUGUGGCAACAGAGCCUGUGGGCGCCAGAGCCGGGGUUGGAUGGAAACCAGCUUUCUGCAGGUUGAAUAGUCGCAGCAAUUAUAUUAACCAUUGUAAUCAUGACAGAAAAGAUUCUCCGUCCCCAUUGUUGUGUUAAAACAGAAAAUGUAAAAAAAAAAAAAAAAAAGUUACAGAUCAUAAAUGCAAUUCUUAACUUGGUCAUAGAAAAACACCAAAUUUGAUCAUCCUCUUGUCUCUGCUGCAGCUAAGCUUCUUUACUGGCCUCCAAUUCCUGUUUCCUUCCCAAUCCAGCAACUUCCUUCUAUUCGUAUUAUCUUAUCGACCAAUUAG